rfam:Aedes aegypti strain Liverpool supercont1.188 genomic scaffold, whole genome shotgun sequence.
CAAAUGGUCCUUCUCAGGACCAAAAUGAGUCCAAAAAGAGGUAAU